rnacentral:lncRNA from 1 species
UUUAAAGAUAGUUCAUAAUUUUUCUAUUAUAUACAUUGUAAAUGAAAUUGAGAACUUAAGUAGGUCCUAGGACCUACCUAAGCACAUGGUGGAUACGCCCCUGUUACCCACACUAACCUCAUACACUUACAACACAAAUGAACUUGAACGGUCUAAGACCAAACCAAGAUAUAAUAUGAAAUGUGUAAGUAUAGUUUAAUAGAUGAAAGUGAGGUGUUGUUUGGGCUUGAAAAGUAGGGGUGAGCAUGGUGCGAUUUUUUGAGAAAACCGAACCGCAAACCGCAAGAUGCGGUUUCUAUAGGGUAAAACCGAUAGGUGUGGUUUUUGUUUCGGCGUGGUUUUACAUGCAUUUUCGGUGUCAUUCGAUGCGGUUUCGGUUUUUAACUGAAAAUAUGUGUUGGUGUGAUUUUUCAUACAUGUGUUGAUCUACCAAAGAAGUAAUAACCCCUAAAGAAGCUAGAGCAAGGCCUAAUUGAAAAUGAAGCCAAUUAUUAAUUGUGUCAUAAAGACCCUCAUGCCCACGUCUCAAUCGCCCUCUUGGAGGGAUAUGUGCAUCUAAAAGAUCUUUCAUACUGUGCCCAAUCCCAAAAUUAGUUCUAUACAUAUGCCCAACAAUAAGAAAAAGAAAUGCAAUAGCUAAAUAAUGAUGAGUCAUAUCAGCAUGUCCAAACCCGACUUUUCAGUUAACUUUCCUUUAUUUCCGGUACAGAUUCUCAUUUAAAUGUAUUUAACAUGCUUGUGAAAUAGUUAUAUGUUAUUCUUAUCAAAAUAUAGACUUCUUUAUGAUAUUACGAUUUUGAGAUUUGAAUUAUAUGUUUGAUGCAACAAGGGAUUUGGUUUUAUAAUCUCAAAUUCCAUUACUUAAUCAUUAUUGUUUAUACAGAUAGAGGCGGCUUUUGAUUCGAAUUGCAUUUUGCUUGUGAUAAGCAAAAGGAAAAUUGUUAAUGGUACGCACUUUGAUACAAAUGUCAAAUUUUAUAAAAAUAUAGCAAAACAUAAGGCAUGCACAGUGGCAAAAAGAACUGAAGAGGUCGAAGUUGAACAAAAUAUACUUUUAUUAAUAAGUAUUAUAAUAUAUUAAAUAUUGUCAGGUUUUUAUGGUGCUGUUUGGCAUUGUCCAAACCGCACCACACCGAAAAAUUACCAAUUAAGGUUGGAUUGGAAUGCAUAAUUAUCAAUUUAUCCUUAAUAAGUCAUAAAUCAACAAAAAUGGCCCAACAAUUUUCUUAAUCUUAAUUGUUGCCUUUGGAUUAGAAAUCAUCAACGAUCAAGAUUGGUUCUCACAAUUCUCUAAUCUCUACUUUUAUGUUGUUUUCAUUUGAACUCAACCCAAAAAUCUCACCAGUAAUCACCACACGAACAAAUCCCGUUCUUGAAAUGAUGAAACCUAUUUGUAUCCCGAAGAAUAAUUUCCCGCUCAACAAUCUUGGAAAUAAGCUUAGCAGCAAUAUGACAAUCCUCACAAACACGUAGAUUUUUAGUAAUCCGUAUAGGCGUAAAAGCUUUAGUAUUUAUAAUCACAAACACAAUAGCAAGCUUCUCACUAUGAACAGCAAGAUGAUUUCCUUUAUCUUCAUCUUCUAUAUCAUGAAGUGCAGAAUCCACUUCAGGAACAUACCCAAAAUCCCUCAUCUUCCCCACAAGUACUUCCAACUCUUGAUAAAUCUGUUUAGAUUGUGGAUGGGAUUGAUCUCCAGCAAGAAACGAAUGAACUUGAUUAUUAAGCUCAACAUUACUAACACCGGGCUCUUUUUUCACUCCUUUUGAUUUCAUUAUUGAACGAAUAUUUGUCACAUCUUUAAAUCUACCUGCUUUUGCGUAUAUAUUUGAUAAUAAAACAUAAUACCCUGCUUGUUCAGGGACCAAUUCAAAGAGAUGAUCUGCUGCUACAAGACCAAUUUCCAUGUUGGAAUGAACUUUACAAGCACUUAACAAAGCACCCCAGAUUCUAUCGUUUGGUUUUGUUUUCAUUUUCUUUAUAAAAUCAUAAGCUUCAUUGAUUCUUCCUGAUCUUCCUAGCAAAUCAACCAUGCACGCCAAGUGUUCGAGUCUUGGAAUGAUGUUAUACUCUUCGGUCAUCAAUUUGAAGAAAUGUUUUCCUUGGUUUAGUAAUCCGGCAUGGCUGCAGGCUGAUAGAACUGGAACGAAGGAAAUGGAAUCAGGGGCGAUUCCGGAAUUUUGCAUAUUUGAAAAGACUGUGAUAGCAGUUUCACCAUCUCCAGUCAUGCCAUAAGCAGAGACCAUGGAAGUCCAGGAGACGACAUCUCUUGUUGGCAUUUCAUCGAACACCUUGCGUGCUUCGUUUAAAGACCCACAUUUAGCAUACAUGUCAAUCAAGGCGUUCUCUACUGUUAGAUUAGGAAGAAGCCUUUUUGUUUUUACAUAUGAAUGAAUCUUUCUUCCUAGUAAUAAAGCUGAAAGAUCUCCACAAGCGGGUAGGAUGCUAGCAACUGUGAUUGAAUCCGGGUCGAUUCCGUAAUUCUCCAUUUGUUGAUAAAGAUUAACUGCAUCUUUAGGCAUCGAGUUGUUGACGUACACAGCUAUCAUGACAUUCCAAGAAAUUAAACUCUCUCGAGCGUGAUUCAUGAACAUUUCUUUCAUAAACAUCACGUUGGUAGAUGAAGUAGAAGUUGUUAAAGCAGGGGAAAGGCUGGCCAUGGUGCCUGCGUUGGGUUUUGAGGUAGAACAUUGCAUCAUUGUCUUACAAAUCUCCAAUGCAUCUUCAAACAUCCGGUUUUGGGCGUAGGCAGCAACCAUAGCAUUCCAGGAGACGAUAUCUCUACUAGGCAUUUCAUCAAACACCUGGCGUCCUUCCAGUAACCGGUUACAUUUUCCAUACAUUGUAAUCAAUCCAUUCCCUACAUAAAGAUUUGAAUGCAGACCCUUCUUGAGAACAGCAACAUGGGUUUGUAAUCCGACCCACAAAUUCUCAGACACGGAACAUGCUUUUAGAACUUGAGGAACUGUAAAAUGAUCAGGGUUAAUGUUGAACUUGAACAUGUUUCUGUACAUACGAAGUGCUUUUUCGUAGAAUUCAUUGUUUACGUAGCUUCUAAUCAUCACAUUGAAGAAGACUACAUCUUUUUGAGGAAAUUCAUCAAACAGUUGGCGGGUAACUGCGAUUUGGCGACAUUCAGAAUAAGCUUUCAUUAAUUUCAGAGCAAUAUGCGAUGCUGAGACGAGGUUUCCAUCAAUAAUUAACCUACAAUGUAUCUUUUUCAAUUGUUUGAUAUCUGGGCACUUGUCCAAGAUUUUGAUACACAAGUCUUCUGUGAUUAACAUGAUUGUUAAGGCGAGAUUUGAAUGAAUUUGAACUUAUAUUCCUUUCGCCAUGUUGUACCUGAGGGGCAAUCAAAUAGAAUGGACGAAGAUAACGAAGGUUUACUUGGUGGUGUUCACUUAAAAACAAGAAAUAUGAAGUUCUAAACGCUAUUUCUUGUUAAACAGAAAAUAUUUUGUCCAAUCUAAAAAUCCAAUUUUUGAGUAAGUUCAAGCUUAAGCUCAAAAAUAGUAAGCAAAACAUGUUUAAAAAAUAAAAGUUCGUUUGAAACUCUUUGGAUAGCUCGAGUAUAACAAUCAUCAUAAUUAUAGUCAAUAAAUCAGGCUCAAACAACCAAACUUGAUGUCCAGCCCUUGAUCAUCCAAUUGCCAACUGAAAUCAACUUAGUUUCCGGUUUUAGAAUCGCCCUAACAUUACAUAAGCACCAACUAGUUCCAAAAGUAGUUUUUAAUUCAAUGUCUCCCAUACCCGUGACUUCAAGGGUUUCCAUGUUACCCAACCUUACCAACUUAAGAUAAGUUCUUUACUUCAAUUACUAUAACAGAUCGAUGAGUCAUGUUCUAAUGACCUCUCGUCAUAUGAUGCAAUGCUUAGACUCGAGUCUUUUAAAGUCAAAUUCUAUAAUGAAAUAUACAUUCCUUCAAGUUUCUAAUGUGAUAUAAUCACAUUCUAGCAUGUAUCACUUCUAGCUACAAGCUUCUUACUUUAACAACAAUCACAAUACUUCUAUUGAUCGCUUUGAUUAUCUUUCAGUUCAAUCUUCUGGCUUAAGUCAGAUGCUACAUCGAUCUUGGUUCUCUGAACCACGUACAAUACUUAUCCUAGCUGUAAUCGAUUUGAUAUGACCACUAGGGUCGGAAUAACAAUCAUCUUCUUAGUCAUUACCGAAAUUAUGGUAAUGACACAUGAACAAAACAGAAUCAAUUACUAGCGUCUUGGUAACUCGUGACUUUCCCUGAUCCAAGUGCGAGUCGUGUGCUUCCAGUAGUAUAUGCCUCUACUACCUUUCACACCUACUCAUACUUGUCCCAAGUAUUGUCUUUCAGUUCUCCAAGUCACCAUAAAAGAAUUUCACAUAGUCAUUUAACACAUCGAAUAACAAAACUAAGGUUUAUAUUAUUUCUUGAAACGAUUACAUAGAUAUUCAAGUUCACCUUAUACCAUGCCUUUUAUAUUAGGCUACACCACAUGAUACUAUCUAUAUGGCUACUUUAUAUCUCGAUCUUCAGAUAUAUAUAGAUCCCUACUCCUAAUCCCUUGUAUCGUCACCUGCUUCAUCCAGGUUAGACUUCGAGAAUCUUCCUUUCUUAUCGAAUCUUGAGGAUCCCUCAAGCUUCUUCUUUUCUCAUGCCUUGUCUUAUUCCAGACCCUUUUUCCUAAAUUAGGUUUCCAUAUUCUUGGUUGCUCUAACGGUUGUCUUCAAAGUAGUUGCCAUUUUUACCAUUGCGCCAAAUUAUGCUGGCAAUCCGUUAGCAAAACUAUCUAUCUUGGAGAGUUCAGUAGCACCAAGUAGGGGAAUAACUUCAUCUGCUCGGUGAAUACGGUGACAUACUCAUCAACACUCAUCUUCCUUUUCUUCAAGUUCGAAACUCGUUGUUUAGGUCUAUCAGAUCUAUCUCUGAGCAGUAUUGCAUUUUCAACUGCUCCAUGAAUGCUUCCCACCUCAGGGCUUCUCCCCCAUGGCUUUGUAUCUGCCAAUAACUUCCACCAACUUAAAACUCUGGUCUUUAGUUGUCUGACUGUAAAGACGGUUUUCUGCUUGUUGCUGCAAUUGCAACUUUCAAAUGUCAUCUCUAUCUCGGAGAUCCAAUCCAUGAUCUCUACUGGCUUCGGGCUUCCAGAAAGACUUGGUGGUUUGGCACCUAAGAAGUUCUUAUACAUACGUUCAUCCUUAUCAAUCGCUUUUUUCGGGUCGUUCCUCCUUGCCACUCGGGGUUCAGCUUGACUCACUGUACGACUGUAAUUUCCCUCCUCCGACAAUUCUUCAUUCAGUUCGGGUUGCACGAUAGGCACAAUAGGUUCAUCCCUAUUAUCAAGAAACAUUUUUCUCAUCUCCUCCCUUUGUUCGGCCAUCAUAGCCCAAAUCAUUGCUUAGACUCUUGCCAUCGUGAUUGGCUCGGGUGCAGCUACUACCUCUGGUGCACAUUUAAUCACUCGUGGUUCAGGCUGUUAGUUUUCAUUAGCAUUUUCUAAUAUGUUGCGAGUUCUCACCAUUUCGAUCUAUACACUCUAGAGAUGUUCAGUGUACAGUGACGAGAAUUAAGAUAUGGAAAGCUUUAUUUACGACAGCCAUAUAAAUCUUCUUAUCACUCGUAAAAGUUAUAUACUAGUUCUAAUACCGUAAUUAAAUGUUUGGAAAUUUUGAGCAAAUGACGGUUCAUCAACAAUAGAGCGAAUCUCAUUUAGGAAUUCGUUGAUAGGUCGAUUUCCUUUAGGAUUUUUAGCAAGUUUGGAUUUUAAAGAGAUGAUUCUUGAGCAGGAGGUGCUGGCAUAGCUUGUGUUGAGAUGCUUUCAUGCUUCUUUUGUGGUAAAUACAGAGGUAAUGAUAGGUUGAAUGAAUUGCAUCUGAGCAUGAACCAAGAAUUGCAUCGAAUACUACAUGAUCUUGGCGAUAGCAAGUCGUGUAUUCAUGAUUAGGUUUGGAUUUGUCUUUGUCGAUAAUGAAUUUUGUGGUAGGAUCAGUCACCCAUGUGAUGUAAUCUUCCAGACCUAGUCCAAUAAAUGUGGACUGCACUUGUCGCCUCCAUACAUGGAAGUUGUUGGUGAGUAAUUUGGUAGGAAAGUGACUUGAGGCGGUGAUUUGUAUUUGGGAUGAUUGUGUCAUGGUGAUGUUGAUGAAAAGGAUUAGAGGAGAAAGGCAAGAUGAUCGAUUGACUCUUUAGAGUGUGUGUGCUCUGAUACGAUAUGAGAUUUGAGAAUCAAUGGGCUCGAAUGAAUAAUUUCAUUUACAAAGAUCGAUACAUAUAUAGAUGGUAACGAGAGUUAAAGAGCUAUACAUGGAAUUUACUAAGAAUAGAUUGCAAUUACAUACAAAUAGAAGAGAUUAUUGUAGAUUAGUCAUGAAGAUGUGUACGAUGUUAUAGUUAGAUUGCUUAUUUGCAAUCCAUGUUAGCUAAGUAUGUCAUGUUGAAUACAAAUUGUAUUAAAACAUUAAAGUUCCAACCAUUAUAUGUUGAAGAAGAAGCAAAUACGCCUUAGUCACACCCAUUCUAAAUGAUAUGGAUGUUAUGGUUGUCGUUUCUAUGCAACCAAAUCGUGAUUCCAAGUUGCAGUUGUCUUACCAAUAUAUCAUGUUAGGAAAAGAUGACAUAGCAUGAAAUAUUGUAUGUUACAACAAAAAGAUAUAUCUUAUAGAUGUCUUGCACAUGGGUUAUUCCUUUUUAAGCACUUAUAUAAAAAUAAUAUCACGUAUGUAUGAUAUCUAUUUUGAGAGAUUUUUAGCAAGCAACUCUUUGUCUAUUAUUGUUAUUGGAUAGAAAAAGUAUCAUCUUCGUUGGGAAGAUUUUACUAGGAUUAGAUUCAUAAUAGUUUGUCAAAGAUUUUACUAUUAUGUAUUUAUAAACCCAUGAAGUUUUCUAUUAAAUAAAUAAAUAAAUAACCAUUCACCAUUUAUAUCUUUUUGGAAUAGAGUUUGUUAAAUUCUAAUAUAAAUAAAAAGAGUAUUUAUUUAGAUUCACACAUUACAAAAUUACAAACUCCAAGCAUAAAUCCGAAACUUAUUUUUAAACUUCUUCAUUUAUAUUACAAGUUUUAUUCUUUUUUCCCAACCCACUUGGGGUUUCGAAACCCUAAAAAAGUUCUAUCCAUGGAAGUUCAUAUUUAUUUCUUAUCUUAAUGAAUUUAAGGUCUAAAUCAAUAAAUGGCAAUGUAGAAUUAACCGCAUAUAUUAAGUUAUUUUUGGAAGCUUUCCAACACAACACAGAAAGGAAAUGAUGAGAAUUUAUGGUACCAAAUAACAAAAUAAUCCCGGUUCCUAUAAAAAUUUAUUAAAGCUCUACUCAUGAUUUCAUAAUCUCCUCUAAUAUGAGGGUUACGUUAUUGUAAUAAUAACUAUGAUAAUGUAAAAGCCAUAACAUAAAUCGUCUUAAUUUAAGAAAUAAUAUAAAUCCCAAGAUAUUGUUUUUAAAAUAAAAAGGAAAAAAGUGGGAGUCCAUUAGAAGGAGCCAAGCUGAUUAUUUGAGCCAAGAGAGCACCGAUUUGUUAUCCUUCCACUGUUCGAAGCGAGAGGUUAUCGCAGCUCUGUGAAGCCAGCCUAACGCAUUGCCCUCUGCUCUAGGAACCAAGAAGCCCAAGCCUUCGCUCAAGCCACUUGAUCCAACUCCGAACUUGGAACGGGCAAACCAGAUUUUGCAACAGCUUUGACCCAACCAAACAAGGCUCGAUCUCAGUCCAUCCCACUUUAGAGCCCUCACUUGAGUCACAAGCUCGCGUUACCAAGCUCGGCGAUAAACGAAGUCCAUUUGAUGUAUAAAUAAUCGGAAAAACUUUCUCCUCCAAGCGAUGUGGGAUGCGAAACGAAAUAUUUUCAUCUUCAUUCUCUCUUUAUCUCUGUCAAAUACUGUGAUUACUGAUUACUGACUACUUAAACACCCAUGCAACGGAUUUCAAGUAUUUUUUUCAAUCCAUGGAUUUAGAACUGUAAACUGAAAAAAGAGAUUGUGGAAUAGUUUUGGAAACUGGAAUUUGUUUACAAGUUUUUCGUGAGGUGUAAGUGAUAAGAUAUGAUAUUUGAGUAAUUGGAAUCAUUCUCUCGAAGAUUCAAGUAUCAAGUAUGAAACUUAGACAAUAUAUAUACCUGUUUUCUUCUCUUUUUUCUGUCUACGAACCGAAUCCAACAUGAUUUCUCUACAAAAUCCGUGUCUUAAUCCUAAUUAACACUCACUAACCGGUUACCCCUCCAGAUGUUGCAGAAAUUUUCUUGAAUUAUCUCUUUUGUUUUUCACAAUUCAAUGUCGGUUGCUCCCUUUCUCUCUGAUUCAAGUAUUCAACCACCGCCAAAGACUUGAGAAAGUGGAGGAGUUUAUCAAUUAAAUGAGUUUAUAUGCUUUCCAACUUUUCGUAAAUUGCAAGUUACUCCCCGUACCUUUCGAAAAUCUUCCUUUAACAAUUGUGGAAAGUUGUUGAAAUUUGAAAAUAAAAUAAAAAUUAUAGUCAAGGGGAUCGUUUUAAAGGUUUCCAGGAGAUACUUUUGUUGAUAUAUUUUUGAAUAAAAAGUUAAUUAUAUAAUAGAUUUUUACCAAAUAAUGUGGAUAGCUAAAAAUGUGAUUAUGGUUUAAAAAAGAAAUCUAAUAAAUAAAGAUUAAAUAAAGAAGUUAUGUUUUAAUAUAACUAAAUUAAUGAUGGUAUUGUGUUUGAUGAAAGGACUAAAACUGAACAAAGAAAAAAUAUUUGUGUUUCACUCACAGAUACUAGCAAUUGAUGGGUCUUAAAUGAAAAGGAGUUGGAUAAGGAAUAAAAACCUUGUAGACGUUCACACUUUUCUCUUUUGAUCAAAAUCUUAUUUAUAAAUUUCAAAAUUUGAUUCAAACCUGUUGUAUAAUUUUAAAUAAUUAAACUCAUAAUUAAAAUUAUACUCUUAUCCAUAAGUUAAUAGAUAUCUUGACUCAUUUAUAGUAUUAUAGAUUACAAGAUUGUUGUGCACGUCACAAAGUAUCAUCCAUAAUAUAUAACAUGAUAUUUUACUUAAUACUAAAUAUACGACAAUUCAAAAAUCAUAUUUUACUAAAUACUUACGAUAACAUUUUUUUUUAAAUGGAUGUCUAUUAUAACAAAUAUGCAUGAGACAACGUAGUCGUCAAGAUAAAUCAUAAACAAAAUAAAUGUCUACUGUAGAAAACAUAUGUUUAACAUAUAUCAAUUGCACUUAGAAAAUAUUUACACUCUCAUAGUAUGCGUUCGAUAGGGAGAAAGCAUCAUAAUCAAUUGGUGAUUUUUUUGGUUGACGUGGUUAUGUGUUUGAUUAGAGAAGAAAGCAAAUAGUAUGAUGUCGAUUGAGGAUUUCUUGAGUUACAAAUAGGGUUAAUGUCAUAAAAAUUCUCAAGCUUUCAGGGUUUUGUCGGUUUUGCCCAAAGUUUAAUUUUAUGUCCGUUUUUACCCUAACAUUUUCCAAAAAAUGUUCGUUUUUACCCUUUUACCGGUGAUAACAGGUUACCAUUAUAUUAGUUUCGCAAAAAAACCCUUAAGUUUAUAGUUUUUUACGUUUUUACCUGUAAGUUUAUAUUUCUUUUACACUUUUACCCUUUGUAUUUUUUUUUUUCAUAUUAUAUGUAUUCAUAAAGAAAAAAUAUAUUUAUAUACGAAAUUUUUUUAAUUAAAUAUUGUAUUUACAUUUUUAUAAUGUUAUUUCUUCAUAUAUAUAUAUAUAUNNUAUAUAUAUAUCAAUAAAAAACAUAAUGAAUCAUAAACAUGUUUAUAUAAGUAUAUACAUAUAUUUUUAGAAGUGUAAAUAUGUAUUUUGAUAUAUGUUUUUUUUUAAGUAUAAAUAUAUUUUUAGAAGUAUAUAUACAUAUUUAUAUAUAAAAAUGUAAAAAUAUGUAUUUAUACUUUUAAAAACUAUAUCUAUAAAACACGUAUUCAUAAUCUUGUAAAAAAAUGUGUGUUAGGAUCUUUUGAUCGCAUUCCGAUCUUAUGAUCACAAUCUUGUAAAAUACAAAAAUAAUCGUAUGUAAGAUUUCAAUUUUGACAAUCUUUAUUUGAAGGAAUAUUAAAAUCAUAAAAUUAUGUUAAUGUGUAACUUGGAACUUGGUGACCCGACCCAAAACAAAGUCAAGAAACCCGACAUCAAAUAUCGAUGGGAUAAAUGUUUGGAAUAAGCUUAGGGUCGAUAGGCCCUAAGUCGUUGGUAAUAGAAGAAUUUUUCAGUUUCCGGCUCCCUACCUAUGAAGUAUGUCAUAUCGACCAAAUCAUAUUAAAUCUAUGUGUCAUUUUAUUGUUGCUUUUUUGCAUAACAAAUUGAAUACUUAAUCUCACAAAAUCAAAAACCUAACUUGAAUAUGAUCAUUGUCGUUGAUACAAUAAAAAUAUAAACCAACAAAACCUUGGAAUUCGGAUUGAAUCCACAUGGAGUUCGUAGUUAAAUUAUGUGUUUGAAAGAUUCAAUUAGCUAACCAAAGAUGCAAGAAAACUAAUCACUUUUGGAACAAUCAAAUUUGAAAUCCAAAGGACAAAAAUGUGCCAAUCAUAAAUUAGGAAUUUAGAAAACCAAAAGUGUAUUGCAAUCAAUUUCUAAAUUGAAUGACCAAAAAUAAUGACCAAAUCUCGCAUUAACUAAACAUUUGAAUGUAGUUAUUUAAUUUUUAUUGUAGCAUAGAUACAUAGACAUGAUCAAUAAAUCUUCUUAUUCUAAUAAAUGAAUAAGUUUAUUCUCAUGUUGACAAGUCUUCUCUAAUAAAUGAAGGUUUUUUGUCAUUUGUUACAUUCUCAUUCAAAUUGUUAAAUGUCAUUUUGUGGUUAUUUUGAAUUAAUUUUUUUCCCACAUAUCAUUUUAUGAGUUUUUCUAUUUUAUUAAAUUCCACAUAAUAUUUUAACAUAAUAGUUGUAAUAAAUGUAGUAAUAAACGGAUAUUAAUUUCACUAAUAAACUUACCUUUUAAUUUCAAAAUUCCCAAAAUUAAAGUUCAUUCGUUUCUUUUCUUUAUUUAAAUUAUGUGUUUAAAUUUAAAAGAUAAAAUACAUUUCCAUUAUAAUAAAUCAUUAUUUUUCUUAUUUUCUUAUAAAUUCAAAGUUCUCAAAUAUUUUGACAUUUAUAUUUAACAUUUUUUUUAAAUAAAUUCAUAUAAUACAUGGGUCUCGCAACUAGUGGCAUACUGUUAGAAAUCUUCAUUAAUAUUAUAUGUCAUCUAUCAUGCCACAUGUCAACCUAUUAAUUCUCCAUUUUAAAUUUUAAAAUUUAAAUUUUCCACUCUAAUUACAUUAAAUUAGAUUAUUUAUUUCAAAUUUUAAAUUUCACAUUCUAAUUACACUAAAUUAAUAACAUUAGAAUAAAAAAUAAAAUAAAAUUAAUAUAUAUUAUAAGGUGAUAUAAUUUAAUGUAUUUAUUUAAAUCAACGAUUAUAAUUUAUAUAACUAAAAAAAUAUCUCUUAAUUAAUAAUUUAUUUGAAGUAAUUGAUUAAUAAUUUUAAAUUUACUAUGUUUAUAUUAAUUUUAUAAUUAUAAUUCUCGCAGAUUAUAAACUAGUUAGUAGAAUAAAAUGACAAACUUUAGGCAUAACCCUUGAUAUGGCCGUAAAAUAGUGUUAACUCCAAAUCUAGGUGGAGCUCGGCACGAUAUAUCACAAUAAUAUUAACUUCAAACAAUUUAAAAAUAAAACUUAUGCAUAAAGUACGAGAAUAAAUUGUUGGGUUACAAAUAAAAUAUUGAAAGAGAAGAGGUUAAAAAUGGCCAACUAAAUGUGUUUGACCAUAUUUAGGGAGGAAGGAGUUGUUUCCCUCCUCCUGCCGAAACCGCUAAACCUUAGUCGGAGGGUAUCGAACCCAUCCAACCCCAAAACCACCGACCCCAUCUUCUUCAACUUUCCAACUUUGAGUUGUCUCCCCAGUGGGUUUCUCAAACCGUUAAACCCCUCUCUUUCUCUCUUGCUUUCAUCCCUUUCCUCCUCUAACCCGCUAUGACUCCUUCAUCCCUUAGUCACUCAACUUAUUUUUGUCUACUAAGAUAAGAAACUUUUCAAAAUCAUCAACUUUUAUCCAUUCAACUUAUUUUGUCAAUUUUUAGGUAAUGAUUUUAACUCAUUGCUCGCCUUUGUGCUUCUAAGAUGAAGUAUCUUGCAUAUUUUGGAGAAAGCAAAUAAGAAUAAAGUAUGUUGCUAAAUCUGGUCCCAAUAAACAAAUAUUUACUCAUAACAAUCUCACACAUAAGAAUUAUGUUAUCAUUAAAAGAUGAAUACGAAUGUUUUGUACUUAGCCUUUGCCAAGUUAUAUAACUUAAUUAAUUAAUUUAUAAGUCCAGACUUUACAAAGAAAAAUCAAGUGAAGUUAAUAAACACAAACUUAAGCAUCAUCAUUGGGUUGAUGCUCUUUUGGGUGUCUCGUCAAAGCUUGAUUAGUAAUGAUUGGAUCUCAUUCAUUAUUCACAUGUCAUCUUGAAACAAAGCUUUGUAAACAGAAUUAGAACCACCACCCCGUUCAUCUUUCUUGUCUCCUCCGCCGCCUAUCAUCGGAGUCUCACAAACCACGCUAUAACCAGCCCUCCGUUGUUUCUUCCUUUUGGAUUCUUUAUUAGAUACGGGUCUAACCUUGGUUGUUUGUAAUGGCUUCGGAGCCCAAACCCUCUGCAAAUCGGGCAUUCGGCCUGUGAAUACGAACCUUUUAGCCCUCUCUCUCCUCUCACGAGCCUCAAUUAACUUUUGUUCAUCAUCCUUUUCUGUCUCUCCUAAAUCCAAGUUGUCAAGCGGAGGAUGCGA